UUCUCCACGCUGAACAGCCCAGCACUCUCAGCCUCUCCUCACUGGAGAAAUGCUCCAGUCCUUGAUCAUAUUGGUAGCCCUCUGUUGGGCUCCUUCCAGUAUGUCCAUAUCUCUCUUGCACUGGGGAGCCCAGAACUGGGCACAGUAUUCCAGGUGCAGUCU